rnacentral:SRP_RNA from 1 species
GCCAGGCGCGGUGGUGGGUGCCUGUAGUCCCAGCUACUCAGGAGGCUGAGGCUGGAGGAUCUCUUGAGUCCAGGAGUUCUGGGCUGUAGUGCACUAUGCUGACUGGGUGUCUGCACUAAGUUUGGCAUCAAUAAUAUGGUCACCUCCCAGGAGCGGGGACCACCAAGUUGCCUAAGGAGGGAUGAACAGGCCCAGGUCGGAAACGGAGCGGGUCAAAACUCCCGUGGUGAUCAGUAGUGGGAUCACGCCUGUGAAUAGCCACUGCACUCCAGCCUGGGCAACAUAGCAAGACCUGGUCUCU